GACGAGGGAUCCUAGCGUUGCUCGGAAUUAUUGGGCGUAAAGCGGGUGUAGGUGGCUUGGUAAGUCGGGUGUGAAAGCCCAGGGCUCAACCCUGGAAGUGCAUUCGAUACUGCUAAGCUUGAGUGCGAGAGAGGUUAAUAGAAUACCUGGUGUAGUGGUGAAAUACGUAGAUAUCAGGUGGAACACCGGAGGCGAAGGCGGUUAACUGGCUCGACACUGACACUGAGACCCGAAAGUGCGGGGAUCAAAC
rnacentral:rRNA from 1 species